UACAGAGGGGGCGAGCGUUGUUCGGAUUCAUUGGGCGUAAAGGGUGCGUAGGCGGCGCGGUAAGUCGGGUGUGAAAUCUCGGAGCUUAACUCCGAAACUGCAUUCGAUACUGCCGUGCUUGAGGACUGGAGAGGAGACUGGAAUUUACGGUGUAGCGGUGAAAUGCGUAGAUAUCGUAAGGAAGACCAGUGGCGAAGGCGGGUCUCUGGACAGUUCCUGACGCUGAGGCACGAAGGUCAGGGGAGCAAACGGG
rnacentral:rRNA from 1 species